GCAACUGAUGGGCAGGAGCUACCAUGCGCCAUAAGGUUAACCUCCACCUGUAAAAUGGUCCAUUCUCAUUUAUGCAGCUUGGGUUAUGGGCUUGUCUUUUGACUGGAUAUUAAUGGUUACCACUCAGUGUUAAUAGUGUCAGUUAUGUGUGUAAUACUGUUUUAUGGUUUCCAAAUGAAUUUUAAAGUGUCCUACAUAUAGGGAAUUUGCAAUCUCCAUGAAGCAUAAUAUCCUUGUGAAACAUCCAGUGAACAUAGUAUGUAAUGGUGUGGAGCAGAUAAGUGUAAAAGGGAUGUGGGGAAGAGAUCUGUGAACUAAACCUCCUAAAGUCUGACACAUUGUAAAUGUUUAUUGCUUGAAAGAUGAGUGUCCCUUUGCUCUUACCUGCUUGACUUUAUCAUGUCUGGAUGACACCCAGAUUCUAACUGUGGAUCCCUGCCCUCCAGAGUCAUUUUGUUCUAUAAACAUUCUAUGUAUUCAGUCUCUAUUAGGUACUGGCAGUACUUCUGUGUACGUAAGUUUUAGACGUCCUGAUUAUCUUGACAAACUCAGUGUGUCCUGAACUUAACUCUUUGCCUUCCACCUCAUAUCCAUUUCUCUUUCUGCCUCCCUGUGUGCUGAUGAGUAUACCAAGAGCACAGCUCCGAAUCAUCAAGUCCCUUACUUUGUGCCCUUGUUUUCUGAACAACCAAAAUUCCUUAAUCCCUUUCAGACAUGUCCAAAGUGUGGUCCCAGUGCAUCACUCCUGAUUUAUCUCCUGAUACCCUCGCACACUGUCUGUCUCAGUCAGGAGAACCUCUCAUGAAUCCCCGUAUCAGUUC
rnacentral:lncRNA from 1 species